rnacentral:rRNA from 1 species
UAAGUCGGGGCCUAAGGCGAGGUCGGAAGACGUAGCCGAUGGACAACAGGUUGAGAUUCCUGUACUGCAGUAUGACAGAACUGUGGGGACACGUGUGGAGAGCAUAGCCGCGGAAUGGAAAGCCGCGGGCAAGCGGGGUAGGAGAUAUGCAGGAAAAACCGCAUAUCAAUCUGAAGACGUGAUGCGGAGCGAACUGAAGUAGCGAAGUAUGUGAGCCAUGCGUCGAGAAAAGCCGCUAUUGUUCAUGCUGUACCCGUACCGUAAACCGACACAGGUGGAUGAGGAGAGAAUCCUAAGGCCGGCGGAAGAAGCAUUGUCAAGGAACUCGGCAAAAUGACCCCGUAACUUCGGGAGAAGGGGUGCCAGGGAGACCUGGCCGCAGAGAAUAGGCUCAAGCAACUGUUUAGCAAAAACACAGGUCUAUGCAAAACCGAAAGGUGAGGUAUAUGGGCUGACGCCUGCCCGGUGCUGGAAGGUUAAGAGGAGAGGUUAGCGCAAGCGAAGCUUUGAAUUUAAGCCCCAGUAAACGGCGGCCGUAACUAUAACGGUCCUAAGGUAGCGAAAUUCCUUGUCGGGUAAGUUCCGACCCGCACGAAAGGCGUAAUGAUUUGAGCGCUGUCUCGACAAUGCAUCCGGUGAAAUUGAAGUGCCAGUGAAGAUGCUGGCUACCCGCGCCAGGACGGAAAGACCCCAUGGAGCUUUACUCCAGUUUGGUACUGGGAUUCGGUAUUGCAUGUACAGGAUAGGUGGGAGGCUGUGAAGUGGUGACGCCAGUCGCCAUGGAGCCAUUGUUGGGAUACCACCCUUGCGGUAUUGGAUUUCUAACCUGCAGCCGUGAACCGGCUGGGGGACAAUGCCAGGCGGGGAGUUUGACUGGGGCGGUCGCCUCCGAAAGGGUAUCGGAGGCGCCCAAAGGUUCCCUCAGAAUGGUCGGAAACCAUUCGAAGAGUGCAAAGGCAGAAGGGAGCUUGACUGCGACACCGACGGGUGGAGCAGGUACGAAAGUAGGGCUUAGUGAUCCGGUGGUAUUAAGUGGGAAUGCCAUCGCUCAACGGAUAAAAGCUACCCUGGGGAUAACAGGCUUAUCACUCCCAAGAGUUCACAUCGACGGAGUGGUUUGGCACCUCGAUGUCGGCUCAUCGCAUCCUGGGGCUGUAGUAGGUCCCAAGGGUUGGGCUGUUCGCCCAUUAAAGCGGUACGCGAGCUGGGUUCAGAACGUCGUGAGACAGUUCGGUCCCUAUCCGGCGUGGGCGUAGGACAUUUGAGAGGAGCUGUCCUUAGUACGAGAGGACCGGGAUGGACGGACCGCUGGUGUACCUGUUGU